rnacentral:rRNA from 1 species
CUUACAGUAUUCUUUUGCCAGCGCUUAACUGCGCGGCGAAAAACCUUACACACAGUGUCUUUUUGAUACAGAACUCUUGCUUUGGUUUGGCCUAGAGAUAGGUUGGGCCAGAGGUUUAACAAAACACAAUUUAAUUAUUUUUACAGUUAGUCAAAUUUUGAAUUAAUCUUCAAAACUUUCAACAACGGAUCUCUUGGUUCUCGCAUCGAUGAAGAACGCACGAAAUGCGAUAAGUAAUAUGAAUUGCAGAUUUUCGUGAAUCAUCGAAUCUUUGAACGCACAUUGCGCCCUCUGGUAUUCCAGAGGGCAUGCCUGUUUGAGCGUCAUUUCUCUCUCAAACCCCCGGGUUUGGUAUUGAGUGAUACUCUUAGUCGGACUAGGCGUUUGCUUGAAAAGUAUUGGCAUGGGUAGUACUGGAUAGUGCUGUCGACCUCUCAAUGUAUUAGGUUUAUCCAACUCGUUGAAUGGUGUGGCGGGAUAUUUCUGGUAUUGUUGGCCCGGCCUUACAACAACCAAACAAGUUUGACCUCAAAUCAGGUAGGAAUACCCGCUGAACUUAAGCAUAUCAAUAAGCGGAGGAAAAGAAACCAACAGGGAUUGCCUUAGUAGCGGCGAGUGAAGCGGCAAAAGCUCAAAUUUGAAAUCUGGCGCCUUCGGUGUCCGAGUUGUAAUUUGAAGAUUGUAACCUUGGGGUUGGCUCUUGUCUAUGUUUCUUGGAACAGGACGUCACAGAGGGUGAGAAUCCCGUGCGAUGAGAUGCCCAAUUCUAUGUAAGGUGCUUUCGAAGAGUCGAGUUGUUUGGGAAUGCAGCUCUAAGUGGGUGGUAAAUUCCAUCUAAAGCUAAAUAUUGGCGAGAGACCGAUAGCGACCAAGCCAGUGAUGGAAAGAUGAAAAGACUUUGAAAAGAGAGUGAAAAAGUACGUGAAAUUGUUGAAAGGGAAGGGUUUGAGAUCAGACUCGAUAUUUUGUGAGCCUUGCCUUCGUGGCGGGGUGACCCGCAGCUUAUCGGGCCAGCAUCGGUUUGGGCGGUAGGAUAAUGGCGUAGGAAUGUGACUUUACUUCGGUGAAGUGUUAUAGCCUGCGUUGAUGCUGCCUGCCUAGACCGAGGACUGCGAUUUUAUCAAGGAUGCUGGCAUAAUGAUCCCAACUUGGGUUGG